GACUGGAACGCAGUGGUUGCGUGGGGUGCAUCUGCCUUCAGUGUUGAGCUCAUCACGGGAAAUUACAGCAGAUAGACCUGGUUCGAUUCCAGGUUGGGUCA